UACGGGGGGGCAAGCGUUGUUCGGAAUUACUGGGCGUAAAGGGCUCGUAGGCGGCCAACUAAGUCAGACGUGAAAUCCCUCGGCUUAACCGGGGAACUGCGUCUGAUACUGGAUGGCUUGAGGUUGGGAGAGGGAUGCGGAAUUCCAGGUGGUAGCGGUGAAAUGCGUAGAUAUCUGGAGGAACACCGGUGGCGAAGGCGGCAUCCUGGACCAAUUCUGACGCUGAGGAGCGAAAGCCAGGGAGCA
rnacentral:rRNA from 1 species